GUCAGAAACGUCUCUGCUGUGUCCUGCUGGCACCACGCAACAGGAGCAGCAGGUGACGCAAAUCACGCAAUUAGGAAAUCCUCCGCGAGGCUAGACCGUCUCCUUUCAGUUCGCUUCUUGAACUUUUGAGGCUGCGUGUGUGCUGUGAAAACCAAGUCCUCGUUUUUAAGUCCGCGACCUUAAAGGUUGCAGCCCCUGAAUUGGGACACAGCUGUUAUCGGCAUGGCGUUUUCUAAAUGGAGAGAGCUUCGCGACCAACUUGGAUUCGACAGAGACUUCGCUCUCGCAUGUGUUUUAAUAGACAGCUUACGACGCUGUCACGUGAUGAACGAAGAAGUCAAACCCGAGGACUUGUCAGAUAAGAGGUGUGGUGAGCUAAUCAUAGACUUAAGACCCAGGUAAACUAUGAAUUAAUCUUUUCUGUUUCUUAUAGCAUUAUAGUUUUGUAUUGUUUGUAAUGUGAUCAACGUUUGCAUAAGUAGUAGAUGUGUUAGGAAAGUAACAUGUAACAUUUUAAUUAUAUUUUGCUAAAAUGAACGAAAUGAACGAUAUGACUCGAAAAAAGAUUCGUUCAUUUUGCUGAACGAGACUCAAAGAUCCCAGUCAGUAAAAUGAUCCGAACUUCCCAUCACUACUACAUAACGUCAUUUAGCUUCGCCUUUUGUUGUCGUUUCGAAAGUGCGCCAUCCAGCGGUCCAAAUAUUCUAUAUUGUGGCUUUAAAGGUACAGUGCGGGAUGUUUUGUAUGAUCUAUUAACAGAAAUUCAAUAUAACAUACAAAUCUGUGUCUUUAGAUCUGUAUAAAAACCUUACGUAAUGAAAAGUUAUGUUUUUAUUACCUUAGAAUAAACCAGUUGUAUCUACAUAUGGAGCGGGCCUAUCUACAUGGAAUUUGUUAUGUUGCGCAGCCAUGUUUUGUACAGUAAGCUCUAACGGACAAACAGCUCUACAGAGCGCGAUUCGUAUAUGUUGGUCUUCUACGUGUUAUUUUUUAGAUGCAGCUUGCGUCAUCACUGAGUUGAAGAUGCACAAAAAAGUAAGUCGUAGUACGGAGAGAAGGAGUAGUCGUCGUCUAGCUGAAGCAAUUGAUUGUUCUGUCUUAGUUUUGAUAAAAUGGAGGACCAUGCGUAUUGUGCACAAGAGCCGACUGGGCGUGAAUCUCCGUCGUCAAAGAAGCGCAAACAUGAUGCUGCCAGACGAAUUAGAGACAAACGGCGGCAGAAAUCCAGGAUAAACAUUGGUGUAUUUAUUACCAGAUGGAAGGCACUGUUGAAAGACAAAUGUUUUCAAAGCGACGCCGAAAUUGCCUGUUUUCUGCUAGACUGGUAAGAUAAUUCAACAUUUUCAAUGUUUUCACUUUUUCAAUGUUUACCAAACAACUGUUUUGUUGAAACGGUAACGUUAGCAUUUUAUACAAAUGGCCAUAUAACCUCCGAAUAAUAAUGUUUUUCCGUCCCUGCGGUACGUACUCCGGUUGUUCCUGACUUUACAAAGGGGGAGACAAACGUCUACUAACUUACACCUAUAUCGCUGUCAGAUCAAACGAUUUGAACAGCGUUGCUAUUUACGAUUAGCUAACUUUAGUUAUUUCACUACUCUCAUCGUGUACUAGAUAGCACGCAAGAAAUAUAUCUAAUUAUAGAAUUGUAACAGUAACUUUCGCAAUAGAAUACAUGUUAAAUGAUUAAUUACGUUACUAUAUUGCCUUACCUUUGUAAAGAAACAUCGUUGCUUGUAUCACUGCUAUCCGCUGUCUCAGUAGACGACAUCUAUUUUUACUGUUGCGGCCACCGUCGUACUUCGAAAGGGAGAUUCGUUGCAAAACUAUAAUACAACGCUAGUGGCCGCUGAUGUUCAAGAACUGCGCCUUUAAAGGGCACGUAUUUUGAAAAAUUCACUUUUAUAAUGUGUUAAAACAUUAAUACGUGUCCACAGUGUCUGUAAACAAGCAGUCUAAACAGUUAAAAAUGUGCUCACUCCUUUUUUAAUAAUUUGCGUAAUUCAAAAACCCUGCUGGUAAAAGCAAAGAUGAAGCAGUAACGUUAAGUAUCACACCUCAUAUUGUUGCUGAUUAGUCUUUCAAAAUUGCCACUCUUAAUGGGCUUGUUAUCGCGCUAUAUUGGUAAUGUUGCUAACAAUAGAAGUACAGCGUCUAACUGUAUUUAUUGACGCUGCCCUCACAUACUGUCGGGCUUAUCGUAAACAAUACGUAAAGUAAGUGUGACAGUACAUGAUAGAACAACGUUGAAAGCGUAAUAUAACCAGUACUCGAGUUGAGGGGGGAUGGCAUCCCCCUUUGAAUUAAAAGAUGGCAUCCCCCUUCCCGUCCCCUGUUAUUUUAUCAAUGAAUGUGUGAAUAUUACCAGUGGUAAUUUACCACUAUUAUUUUUGCGAAUAUUGAAUAGGCUAAAAUACUGUGGACGAGGGGAACGUGCACAUAAUGACACGACGAUUUGUUUUAAAUUUACGUCACAUCAGUCAGCGACAUAGCGGCGCAGGUGCUGGUGCCGGUGAUUUCAGCAUCAUGGCCAAGCCCAAGCGACAUGGACAGCUUGACCUGAGGGACUUCGGCUUUAAGAGGGCAAGAAGUAGCACAGAAGGAGAGCAGUGGUAGCCAUGCCAGCCUGGGGACCAACUCCAAUUCUGAGGUGCCUUGGUCAAGAUCAAUGACAGGAGUAUCUGAUAUGUAAUAUAUCAAUAGCAUGCAUGUUGUUUUAGAGUAAUAUAAUAUAAUAAUUAUCUUUGUGCUUAAACAAUAAUCAAAACAAUUAUGUCAAAACAAACGGAUGCUGCGUUAAUUGCGAUAAAUAUUUUCUCACGCGUUAAUUUGAAAAAAUUAAUCGCAUGCGUUAACGCGUUAACGUUGACAGCCCUAGUAGUAACGCUAAACUAUACCUGCUCGAUCUCCAUGCAGCAUUUAUUAUCAGGCUCUGUAGUCAUUUUACUGCAAUUCCCACACGAGCUCCUGCACAGCGAUUUAUACAUUAUCAUGACGGACCAUGCUAAUGCUUAUCGAUCACUUGAAGAACGUUAAUUUCACAAUAACUGCAAAAUUACAACUAACCAUUCGGAAACGUCCUGUUCAAUUCUUAAGGUUGUCACUUCGUAUGUCUCUCCAUCAGUGUCCGACUCCAGUUCGUACAUAUAGGGCUGGAAACCACUAACAAUUACUGACAUUUUGAUGUUUUGUUUUGGCCGGUACGCAUCAGCACGAGUUCCUGAAACUCCGGGACGAAAAGCUCAUUAACAUUUAAAGAGAUACAAGCAAAAUCGGUGUGUUUUAACACAUACUCAAAAUCGGGCAACUUCAACAUUCUAUAAUAAAUGAUCCGCUGGGUAUUUUGAGUUAAAACUUCACAUACAAACUCUGGGGACACCGGAGACUUAUUUCACAUCUAGUAAAACCAUUCAAACAACCUCUCCUUUAAGACGUUUUAAAUAUUUUUACUAGAAAACGAAACAAAAAUGCUUAGAUAGAAUGUCAUUUUGUGCAGUAUUGCUGUGCUAACUCUGGAAUAGCCUUCCCAAUACUAUUCGAGGGUCAGUCACACUCUCCCAAUUUAAAUCUAGAUUAAAGACGCAUCUUUUUAUCCAAGCUUCCACUUAAUGCAUAGUUAAUGAACAGCAGCUACGCUAAUUAUUCUCUUUCUGCCCCCGCCAGGAGAGAUUCCGCCAGGCCCAGAUGAAUGUCAUAUGCCCAUGCCCAAUUAGAGAUUACGCCGGCUACAUCUGUAAAUCCCUUGCCAUCCCCCUGCAGUCUGACUGACCAUCCCAGCUCCAUCUCAGGCAAUUCCAUCACCACCCAAGAGAAAAGCGACCAUCUGACCAUCCCAGCUCAGACAAUUCCAUCCCCAACCAAGAGCAAAGACGGACUACUUGUCACAUUACUGCUAAAUUUACAAUACUGGGCAUUUAAUGCUAAAUUUACAUCACACGACAGCAGUUAGAAGUUAUAGCUGCACUCAGUGACUUUGAUUGGAGGUUGCUGGGUGGGUGUUUGUGGGGAGUAGGGGGGUCUUGUUGGUUGUGGUUUGGGGGUUUCAUUUGUUGGGGCUGUGUGGGUCUGGUUUGGUCUUGUUUUGUGGUCGAUGUCGGACAACAGGGGAAUAAAGUUAAUUAUGCCAUUACUACUUUUCCCUGGUUGUUCCUCUGUUGUCUGUUGUUGAUCGCGGAAUUGGACCGGGUUGGACCUGCAUGGUUUCGGCGGGUGGGGCUUCCUGGGUCGCUGCUCGUGGGCUCUCCCUGUUCUUCGUGGACGUUGCUCGGUGGCUUUGGUCGGGGUCACUGAGUGCAGCUAUGACACGUCAGAGGAGAUCUGGCCCUCCCGGCUGAGCCUGGUUUCUCCCGAGGUUUUUUUUUCUCCAUUAUUCAGCAUUGGAGUUUGGGUUCCUCGCCACAGCAGAGCAGUGCAGUGUUGGCUUGCUCACCGGGAGACUGCAUUUAUUUAUUUAUUUAUUCAUUUAUUUAUUAGAUAUUAUUUAUUAUAAUGAUCUUGCUUGGUCUAUAAACACCAUGCACUGUGCUGUGUUUUACCUUUCUGUGUUUUUCUUAUUUGCUCCUGUAAAGCUGCUUUGGAACAAUGCACAUUGUGAAAAGCGCUAUAUAAAUAAAAUUGAAUUGAAUUGAAUUAAAGCUGCUUUGGAACAAUGCACAUUGUGAGUCUCUUCUUGCUAAUUUUAAAUCUCAAAGUGUUUUAAUUUUAAUUAAAGGAGUCAUAUGACACGGCUAAAACGAAUAUUAUCGUUUGUUUUGGAUGUAAUGCAAUGUGUAUACACGAUUUGAGGUUCAAAACCGCUGUAUUUUCCACAUAUCGUGCAUGUUUGUAUCUCCUCUUUGCCCCACAUCGUAGAAACGCGCAGAUUUUUUUACAAAGCUCAUCGCUCUGAAAAGCGAGGUGUGCUAUGAUUGGACAGUUAACCAGUGUGUAGUGAUUGGUCGAAUACUGCAAGCGUGUGAUGGAAAUGUAACGUUUCUUACCAUAUUUGUAACAUCAGGUUCCAAAGCAAUUGUACUGACAGGUACGCCCACCUUACUUGCGUAUACAUUGGGGUGGUCUUAGUCAAAUCAUACCACAAACUGACGUAGAUUUGUCAAAUCUUUUGUUCCGACGCUUACAUUUUUGCAAUUUUACGUGUCUAAUACAUGCAUGGGCAACUUAUAACACACCAAAGACACAGAAAAACACGUAUUCGCGCCAUAUGACCCCUUUAAUGUUUAACUCAAAUGGAAAACAGUACUACUCAACUCUCAACUCAACUUUAUUUAUAUAGCGCUUUUUACAAUUUUCAUUGUUACAAAGUAGCUGUACAUGAGACAUAUUGACUAUAAGCAAAACAAUUAAAGUUGUACCUGUAAAAACAAGAAAAAGGUGAAAACACAGAAGACAGACAUACCCACAUACAAAACACUCCACACACAAUAUGCACACGUACUAACACACAUAGACACACACACGGACGUGCAGACACACGGACACACACGCACGCACAGUGAAAGCACACGUUUAAGAUAAAGGAGAGAGAAGCACAGGUCAAAUAUUAAACAGACUAUAAAUUCCUAUAUGCAAUAUUAAGUAAAACUUCAAAAUUCUAAAGCAGCCCCCCCGGCCAGGCAAAUAGUGCAAACGGUGGCGAGGAACCCAAAACUCCAAUUGAGAAAAAAAAACCUCAGGAGAACCCAGGCCCAACCAGGGGAUUCCAGUUCCCCUCUGACAAAAGCUGCUGCCUCUGCACAAGCUCGACAGUGCUUGCACAACAAGGCUAAAUGAAAAUAAAUAAACUUACUAAUGAGGUAAACUAUAGU